UACGUAGGUGGCGAGCGUUGUCCGGAGUUACUGGGCGUAAAGCGCACGCAGGCGGUGCUCUCAGUUGCCGGUGACAGUCCUCGGCUCAACUGAGGAAGGACCGGCAAGACGGGAGCACUUGAGGGCUUGAGAGGGACACGGAAUUCCGGGUGGAGUGGUGAAAUGCGUAGAGAUCCGGAGGAACACCAAAGGCGAAGGCAGUGUCCUGGCAAGUUCCUGACGCUCAGGUGCGAAAGCCAGGGGAGCGAACGGG
rnacentral:rRNA from 1 species